rnacentral:rRNA from 1 species
GAUGAACGCUGGCGGCGUGCUUAACACAUGCAAGUCGAACGGAAAGGCCCUGCUUUUGUGGGUUUCUCGUUUGGCGAACGCGUGAGUAACACGUGAGUAACCUGCCCUUAUCUUUGGGAUAACUCCAGGAAACUGGGGCUAAUACCGCAUAGGAUCUCCUGCUGCACGGUGUUCAUUGGAAAGUUUCGGCGUUUGGGGAUGUUCUCGCGGCUUAUCCGCUUGUUGGUGGGGUAGUGGCUUACCAAGGAUUUGACGGGUAGCCGGCCUGGGAGGGUGACCGGCCCCAUAGGGCUACGGAAGGGGGCAGGACGCAUUCGGGAGGAAGGGGUGGAAAAUAUAGCGAGAAGCGCGGAGGGAGGAUGGAGCAACGCCGCGUGCGAGAUGACGGCCUUCGGGUAGUAAACCGCGUUCGCGUGUGACGAAGCGUGAGGGAGAGAAAUGGGCAAAGAGGCACCGCCAACUUAGGU